rnacentral:rRNA from 1 species
UCGGGGACGCGGUGACAGGUGCUGCAUGGCUGUCGUCAGCUCGUGUCGUGAGAUGUUGGGUUAAGUCCCGCAACGAGCGCAACCCUCGUCCUUAGUUGCCAUCAUUCAGUUGGGCACUCUAAGGAAACCGCCGGUGAUAAGCCGGAGGAAGGUGGGGAUGACGUCAAGUCCUCAUGGCCCUUACACGCUGGGCUACACACGUGCUACAAUGGCGGUGACAGUGGGCAGCAAACUCGCGAGGGUGAGCUAAUCUCCAAAAGCCGUCUCAGUUCGGAUUGUUCUCUGCAACUCGAGAGCAUGAAGGCGGAAUCGCUAGUAAUCGCGGAUCAGCAUGCCGCGGUGAAUACGUUCCCAGGCCUUGUACACACCGCCCGUCACACCAUGGGAGUUGGUUUCACCCGAAGGCAGUGCGCUAACCGCAAGGGGGCAGCUGACCACGGUGGGAUCAGCGACUGGGGUGAAGUCGUAACAAGGUA